rnacentral:rRNA from 1 species
GUGCCAGCAGCCGCGGUAAUUCCAGCUCCAAUAGCGUAUAUUAAAGUUGUUGUGGUUAGAAAGCUCGUAGUUGAACCUUGGGCCUGGCUGGCCGGUCCGCCUCACCGCGUGCACUGGUCCGGCCGGGCCUUUCCCUCUGUGGAACCCCAUACCCUUCACUGGGCGUGGCGGGGAAACAGGACAUUUACUUUGAAAAAAUUAGAGUGCUCCAGGCAGGCCUAUGCUCGAAUACAUUAGCAUGGGAUAAUAAAAUAGGACGCGCGGUUCUAUUUUGUUGGUUUAUAGGACCGCCGUAAUGAUUAAUAGGGACAGUCGGGGGCAUCAGUAUUCAACUGUCAGAGGUGAAAUUCUUGGAUCAGUUGAAGACUAACUACUGCGAAAGCUUUUGCCAAGGAUGUUUUCAUUAAUCAGGAACGAAAGUUAGGGGAUCGAAGACGAUCAGAUACCGUCGUAGUCUUAACCAUAAACUAUGCCGACUAGGGAUCGGACGGUGUUAUUCAUGACCCGUUCGGCACCUUACGAGAAAUCAAAGUGCUUGGGCUCCAGGGGGAGUAUGGUCGCAAGGCUGAAACUUAAAGAAAUUGACGGAAGGGCACCACCAGGGGUGGAGCCUGCGGCUUAAUUUGACUCAACACGGGGAAACUCACCAGGUCCAGACACAAUAAGGAUUGACUGAUUGAGAGCUCUUUUCUUGAUUUUGUGGGUGGUGUGCAUGGCCGUUCUUAGUUGGUGGGGUGACUUGUCUGCUUAAUUGCGAUAACGAACGAGACCUUAACCUGCUAAAUAGCCCGCAUUGCUUCGGCAGUGCGCUUGCUUCUUAGAGGGACUUUCGGCUCAAGCCGAAGAAGUUUGAAGC